rnacentral:rRNA from 1 species
ACUCCUACGGGAGGCAGCAGUGGGGAAUAUUGCGCAAUGGGCGAAAGCCUGACGCAGCAAUGCCGCGUGAGUGAGGAAGGCCUUCGGGUUGUAAAACUCUGUCAGAUAGGAAGAAUUGCCAAGGGUCCAAUAGGCCCUUGGAGUGACGGUACUAUCAAAGGAAGCACCGGCUAACUUCGUGCCAGCAGCCGCGGUAAUACGAAGGGUGCAAGCGUUGUUCGGAUUUAUUGGGCGUAAAGCGCGCGCAGGCGGGCAGCUAAGUCAGAUGUGAAAUCUCGGGGCUCAACCCCGAAAUUGCGUCUGAAACUGGUUGCCUAGAGUUUCAGAGGGGAGAGCGGAAUUUCGCAUGUAGGGGUAAAAUCCGUAGAGAUGCGAAGGAACACCAGAGCCGAAGGGGGCUCUCUGGCUGACAACUGACGCUGAGGCGCGGAAAGCGUGGGGAGCAAACAGGAUUAGAUACCCUGGUAGCGAGUA